AUGUAAUGUAAUUCCUACAAUGUUAAUGCAUCAGAUCCCAUUAGAAAUAUAUAGUUAAGUACGUUUGGGAUAGAGUAUUACUUUGAUGGGUGACCUCACGAGAAGUCCUAGUGUUUUACAUG
rnacentral:rRNA from 1 species